CCUCUUGUGGUGUUGUUGGUAACACGCCUUUCUAGCGAAUUGGGAGUCGUGAGUUCGAUCCUCACCGAAAAGA
rnacentral:tRNA from 1 species